GGGUUGUGAGGUUAAGCGACUAAGCGUACACGGUGGAUGCCCUGGCAGUCAGAGGCGAUGAAGGGCGUGCUAAUCUGCGAUAAGCGCCGGUAAGGUGAUAUGAACCGUUAUAACCGGCGAUACCCGAAUGGGGAAACCCAGUGUGAUUCGUCACACUAUCAUUAACUGAAUCCAUAGGUUAAUGAGGCGAACCGGGGGAACUGAAACAUCUAAGUACCCCGAGGAAAAGAAAUCAACCGAGAUUCCCCCAGUAGCGGCGAGCGAACGGGGAGGAGCCCAGAGCCUGAAUCAGCAUGUGUGUUAGUGGAAGCGUCUGGAAAGGUGCGCGAUACAGGGUGACAGCCCCGUACACAAAAGCGCAUGUGCUGUGAGCUCGAUGAGUAGGGCGGGACACGUGGUAUCCUGUCUGAAUAUGGGGGGACCAUCCUCCAAGGCUAAAUACUCCUGACUGACCGAUAGUGAACCAGUACCGUGAGGGAAAGGCGAAAAGAACCCCGGCGAGGGGAGUGAAAAAGAACCUGAAACCGUGUACGUACAAGCAGUGGGAGCACCCUUCGGGGUGUGACUGCGUACCUUUUGUAUAAUGGGUCAGCGACUUAUAUUCUGUAGCAAGGUUAACCGUAUAGGGGAGCCGGAGGGAAACCGAGUCUUAACCGGGCGUUAAGUUGCAGGGUAUAGACCCGAAACCCGGUGAUCUAGCCAUGGGCAGGUUGAAGGUUGGGUAACACUAACUGGAGGACCGAACCGACUAAUGUUGAAAAAUUAGCGGAUGACCUGUGGCUGGGGGUGAAAGGCCAAUCAAACCGGGAGAUAGCUGGUUCUCCCCGAAAGCUAUUUAGGUAGCGCCUCGUGAAUUCAUCUCCGGGGGUAGAGCACUGUUUCGGCUAGGGGGCCAUCCCGGCUUACCAACCCGAUGCAAACUGCGAAUACCGGAGAAUGUUAUCACGGGAGACACACGGCGGGUGCUAACGUCCGUCGUGAAGAGGGAAACAACCCAGACCGCCAGCUAAGGUCCCAAAGUCAUGGUUAAGUGGGAAACGAUGUGGGAAGGCCCAGACAGCCAGGAUGUUGGCUUAGAAGCAGCCAUCAUUUAAAGAAAGCGUAAUAGCUCACUGGUCGAGUCGGCCUGCGCGGAAGAUGUAACGGGGCUAAACCAUGCACCGAAGCUGCGGCAGCGAACGUAUCACCCAAGACAACUUUACGGAGUUGACGAUUGACGGAGCGAAGCGACGUCAAAGCGUUCAUUAAAGUCGAGUUGGCUUAGGGAUACGUUCGUUGGGUAGGGGAGCGUUCUGUAAGCCUGUGAAGGUGUGUCGUGAGGCAUGCUGGAGGUAUCAGAAGUGCGAAUGCUGACAUAAGUAACGAUAAAGCGGGUGAAAAGCCCGCUCGCCGGAAGACCAAGGGUUCCUGUCCAACGUUAAUCGGGGCAGGGUGAGUCGACCCCUAAGGC
rnacentral:rRNA from 1 species